rnacentral:lncRNA from 1 species
CAGGAGGAAGAUCGGAGGAGGAGAGGAGGCAGAGAGCUCCCCGCCCAGCGCUGGAAAAGGUAAGUUUUAAACCCCUUUCCCCUUUCCAGAGCUGGGCGGGAGGGGGACCCUGAGGGUGGGGGCACCCUCAGGGCACUAUAGUGCCAGGAAAACAAGUAUGUUUUCCUGGCACUAUAGUGGUCCUUUAAAGGGUUACCCCACUGACUUAUGACAGCCCAGUGACACUGCUGGAGGUGUAGGAUAAAUUCCCUAUGCGCAAUAUUUCAUAGCGAAACGCUGCACAUGCAGAUUCCAGCCACCAUGACCUCUUCAAAUCACUGAAAUGGUCCUGGUACAUAUACUGUAUGUGUGUGUGUAGGCCAGCUCCUUGGAUUUGCACCCCUCCCUGUCACAGGUGCCUCAGUCCAGGGCCAUAUUUAGCCUUGUACUGCAGAGAACUCCAGAUAGAUCCCCCCCCCUCCUCCUCCCAAGUAAGUGAGUUAAUCUCAUAAGAGCAGACAUUAGGCUGCUAGAUUAGAACCUGCCAAAGAUGGGGUACAUUGACAUUGUGGCAGGCAUAUGCAUUGUAUGAUCAUAUACUGUAACUAAACCCCCAUUGUUUUUGCCUAGAUUAGGUGUUUAAAAAACAAAAAAAACAAAAAAACUAAUAAAAUCUGUGAGCUUUGAAGUUGCUGUUUAGUGGAUAAGUGAGUGCACUGGAUCUUGUGUAUCUUUUGUGUGUGUGUGUGUGUGUGUAUGUGUAUAUAUAUAUAUAUAUAUAUAUAUAUAUAUAUAUAUAUAUAUAUAUAUAUAUAUUUAGCAGGUGGGAGAUUCGAGGGGAUUUGGGACAUUAGAACCUUAGCUGUUUCAGAAUGUGUGACAAUAUAUUCGCUUUAUAAAGCAUAAUAUUCUGUAUAAAUUGUAGUUGUUUAGUAUUAUGUGCUUUUCGGGGUUUUUUUCUUUGGGUUUUUUUUUAAUUCAGCUUUUAGUGUAAAAGUUAACACAUUGCUGCAUAUUAUCAGAUAUAGAAUGCAUUCGGUAAAAAUAAAUACAAGAUCAAUGUACAUAACAUCAGAUUAUUGUUAAAAAUACGAGGCAGUAUCUUAAAAGUCACACUUUAUUUUUCUAUUACUUGUGAAUCCCAGUGAGGUGAUUUAAAAAGUGAAUUACGAAGAAUGCCUGCCAAGCAGGACAGGCUGUGUGCACUCCCCUCUUUGGAAUGAGUGGUAAAUGUAAAACAUCCAGUUUAGGUUACCAAGUGGGAAAAUAUGUCAGAUUUACAUAGUAUUAAAUGUUGUUGGAGAAGCACUCUUUAACAGUGUUCAUCAUCAUAAGUCUUUUACAGUUGCAUGUGUGGGCCUAAUUAAAUGUGUUCUAUGGAGAUGUUAAGGGCCUACUUCAAUAUUGGAGGAGACGAUAAUUGGUGUUAUUGCAGCUGUCAUUUUGUUUCAGAUAAUUUGUCUAGACUUUUAUUGGUUUUUUUUGUUUGUUUUUUUUUUGUCUUGGCUAUUUAUUGUAUAUGUAAUAAAUUCAAUAAAAUGUUAAUGGAGGGCUAAAAAAGGAAUUGGUGAGGUCACAAAAUAUUUCUAUGGAUGGGGCCUCCAUCCCUCUGUCACACUCCUGCUUUAGUUUGGCAGGUGGUAAUUCAUUAUAAGGAUGUGGAGAUAUAGCUACCAGAGUUAAAGGGUAUACAGCUGUAAAUAGACCUCUGCAUGAUCUCAUGCUCUUACCUCACCUCUUGUUAAUCUAUUGUAAGUGAACAUGGAGAGCUAUGCCACUGGCACAAUAUCUGUCACCAUCACCCUUUUUGCCAGGUCCUUUUGACCCUCUGCACAGUGCCUUUUGCCUUGUUUCUGUGCCUCAUGGUAUCUCAUGCCUUCUUUUUCACAGCACAACAGAGUCUUGCCAUCUCUACCUGGCCAAUGGAUGUCCAGAAUGUCGGUAACCAUGGCUGGUGCGAUUUAUAGGCAAACUAGGCAGCCGCCUAGGGCGCAUCAACACUGGGUGUGCAGUGUUAGGUAGGCCAGGAGGAGGGGAGCGCCCUGCACAGCGCUCCCUCCAGCCAGUCACCACAUGUAGCGUGGCCGAGCCGUGAACCAUGGUAGAGGAUCUUGUGUUAAACAAAAGAUCUUCGGUCGUGGCUCAGCCACGCUUCCUAAGAGAGGUGAGCUGGUUUCCUAACCACCAAAAUGUAAUAUUUUAAUAGAUUGAAGGCUUGGAGACACAGCUACAAGUUUCUGAGUUGGAGAACUGGUACUGUUACUUCCCAGCUCUCAUUCCCAGGCAUAGCAUGAUGCAUUCAGGAAUUAAUGGUGGAUUGCUGUGAGUGCUGCGCAUACACCUAUGGUCAUAGAGGAGCAGUGGAAUAUACCAACAUCCCGGAGGCACACCUUUAGGAUGACCUCACAUGAGGAGAAGCCCACGGCACGGCGAGGUAAAAUCGGCAUUAAGUAAAAUAAUUAAAAAUUAUUUUUGUUUUAAAGAUUUCACUGGGGAAAGCCUGAAACAAACUACCUGGAGAAACAUUAAAGUUGUUCAAAGUGAGGUGGCUGGUGUCUACCUGCAGCAACUUAUAAAAAUGUACUCUGGUUUCCCAUAAGAUUCCAGAAUGUUAGAGAAUAUUUAUGCUGAUGUAAGGGCCCUUCAGCAACCCUAUGAAUGGGCAAUACUGGUUGUCUGACAUGUAAUACUGCCUGUCAGCCCAGCAUGCACGAGUGCCUGGCUGAUAACCGGAAAACAUAAAUUUCUCAGCAAUGGUGCCGGUGCAGAGACCGUCAUUUAUAUAAAAUACAGAUUAAAAAACAGCACACACAAAAAUACAGUUGUCAGUUUUACGAGGCUACUUAUCACCUAACUCAGCAAACAAAUAUGGGGAUUCAGUUCCACUGUAUGGCUGUAUUGUGGUAAGCUCACCUCCAUGCCACAGUACCCCAAUAUCGGUGUGUCCUACAAGAAUUCCAAUGUGGGAGACAAAUUAAAUAGUGCUAAAUGAACUAAGUAUAUUUAAUUAACUUGUUGUUAGAGCAUUGUGAACAUAUGUAAAUAAUGCAAAAUGAUGUGAUUAAAAACACAAUUUGAAAAAAAAUACAGUCUCAGUGACAGUACAUUGAUGUAUAUACUAACCAUGCAUGUUCUAUAUCAAAUGCAAAUUAGUAUUUAAGUGGAACUGUACGCCCAUAUUUGUUUACUGACAUGAUUUUAAAGGACCACUCUAGGCACCCAGACCACUUCAGCUUAAUGAAGUGGUCUGGGUGCCAGGUCCUUCUAGGGUUAACCCAUUUUUUUUAUAAACAUAGCAGUUUCAGAGAAACUGCUAUGUUUAUUAAUGGGUUAAGCCUUCCCCCUAAUCCUCUAGUGGCUGUCUCAUUGACAGCCACUAGAGGCGCUUGCAUGCUUCUCACUGUGAUUUUUACAGUGAGAGCACGCAAGCGUCCAUAGGAAAGCAUUGUAAAUGCUUUCCUAUGCGACGGGCUGAAUGCGCGCGCAGCUCUUGCCGCGCGUGCGCAUUCAGCCCAGGAGGAGGAUCGGAGGAGGAGAGGAGGCAGAGAGAUCCCCGCCCAGCGCUGGAAAAAGGUAAGUUUUAACCCCUUUCCCCUUUCCAGAGACGGGCGGGAGGGGGUCCCUGAGGGUGGGGCCAGGAAAACGAGUAUGUUUUCCUGGCACUAUAGUGGUCCUUUAAGUAACUUUGUAAAAUGUAAAACUGUAUUUUUGAGUGCGCAUUUCUUAAUCUGUAUUUUGUACAAAUGUUGUAUACAUUCUGUGGAUAGCAAUAGUUUAAUAAAUAAUUUAAAGUUCUGAAUAAGGAUUGGUUCUGAAGAAGGGUUAUGCGACUCCUAAGCAUUACAGAGAGACCCACGGAUCUGGGGCUUUUCCAAGACCUUGGUGUCCAUGCAAGAGAUCUUCUGAGUUGCUCUAUGCAUGUGUCCCCUGGUUGGCUGCCUAGCAGUCCUGCUUGUGAACAUGCCCCACUCCCCAUCUUGCUUUCUUAUAUCACACUGUUUGGGAGGCAUGGGUAGUCUUUGAGGAUUUUAUUUAAUUGUUCCACACAAAAAAACAAACCUGAAUCUAGCAUAGGCUUUUCCCAUGUAUCAAAGCUGCAGGAUUUUCUUUAUUCACGAACACUACAUCUUCAUGCCUAUGAACAUUUUAACACAACCCGAUUUUAAGAUUAGCUUCUCUAUUAUUAUCAUCAGAUUCAAUAUUAACCUAAUGGUACCGGUAUAUUGUCUCAUUGCGACUGUGUGCCAUCUAAGUGGUUGCUUGGCAACCAUGAGAUGUACAUUUUCUAAGCUCUAUGCAAUGCAUGCUGCUUGCAAGCAAUGCUUAAAUAGAAUUAGAGGGUCCUCUUCACAUUGCUUUGUGUUUGAAUAAUGUAAGUGUAAUGUAAUA